rnacentral:rRNA from 1 species
GAUGAACGCUGGCGGCGUGCCUAAUACAUGCAAGUCGAGCGAACAGACGAGGAGCUUGCUCCUUUGACGUUAGCGGCGGACGGGUGAGUAACACGUAGGUAACCUACCUAUAAGACUGGGAUAACUUCGGGACACCGGAGCUAAUACCGGAUAAUAUUUCGAACCGCAUGGUUCGAUAGUGAAAUAUGGCUUUUCUAUCACUUAUAGCUGGACCUGCGCCGUAUUAGCUAGUUGGUAAGGUAACGGCUUACCAAGGCAACGAUACGUAGCCGACCUGAGGGGGUGAUCGGCCACACUGGAGCUGAGACACGGUCCAGACUCCUAAGGGAGGCAGCAGUAGGGAAUCUUACGCAAUGGGCGAAAGCCUGACGGAGCAACGCCGCGUGAGUGAUGAAGGUCUUCGGAGCGUAAAACUCUGUUAUGAGGGAAGAACAAACGUGUAAGUAACUGUGCACGUCUUGACGGUACCUAAUCAGAAAGCAACGGCUAACUACGUG